rnacentral:rRNA from 1 species
UAANAAGGUUUCCGUAGGUGAACCUGCGGAAGGAUCAUUG